AAACUCAAAGGAAUUGACGGGGGCCCGCACAAGCGGUGGAGUAUGUGGUUUAAUUCGAUGCAACGCGAAGAACCUUACCUGGUCUUGACAUCCCGAAGAUCUCCUGGAAACAGGAGAGUGCUUUCAUUAGAGAGAAUUCGGUGACAGGUGCUGCAUGGCUGUCGUCAGCUCGUGUCGUGAGAUGUUGGGUUAAGUCCCGCAACGAGCGCAACCCUCGCCAUUAGUUGCCAUCAUUUAGUUGGGCACUCUAAUGGGACUGCCGGUGUCAAACCGGAGGAAGGUGGGGAUGACGUCAAGUCCUCAUGGCCUUUAUGACCAGGGCUACACACGUACUACAAUGGCCGAUACAAAGGGCAGCCACAGUGCGAACUGGAGCAAAUCCCUUAAAGUCGGUCUCAGUCCGGAUUGGAGUCUGCAACUCGACUCCAUGAAGUUGGAAUCGCUAGUAAUCGUGGAUCAGCAUGCCACGGUGAAUACGUUCCCGGGCCUUGUACACACCGCCCGUCACACCACGGAAGUUGGUUGUACCAGAAGCAGUUGGGCGAACCUUCGGGACGCAGGCUGCCAAGGUAUGGCUGGUAACUGGGGUGAAGUCGUAACAAGGUA
rnacentral:rRNA from 1 species